AAGGGUUUCUCUUUAUUUUUACUAUUUUCUUCAUUGUUGUAAUGAAUACGAUGGGAGACAGAGAGCUGGUUUCAAGCGCAGGGCGCAGCAGGUGUUCAUUUGUAAAAGACCACAGGAGGAGGCAGGUAGCUGGGUCCAGGGGCAGGCAGAAGGUCAUACACAGGAGGAGGCAGGUAGCUGGGUCCAGGGGCAGGCAGAAGGUCAUACACAGGAGGAGGCAGGUAGCUGGGUCCAGGGGCAGGCAGAAGGUCAUACACAGGAGGAGGCAGGUAGCUGGGUCCAGGGGCAGGCAGAAGGUCAUACACAGGAGGAGGCAGGUAGCUGGGUCCAGGGGCAGGCAGAAGGUCAUACACAGGAGGAGGCAGGUAGCUGGGUCCAGGGGCAGGUAGCUGGGUCCAGGGGCAGGCAGAAGGUCAUACACAGGAGGAGGCAGGUAGCUGGGUCCAGGGGCAGGUAGCUGGGUCCAGGGGCAGGCAGAAGGUCAUACACAGUCCAAAAAGGCAACAGUACAGGCAUGGAGAAGGCUAAUGACGUAGUGCAGGAGAUCAGACGUACAAGUACAAGCAAGGAAUAGGCUAAAAGGCGUCGUUAGUGAGGAUGGCCAAAACUAUGGUACACAUGAGGACUAAUACAGAAAGAA